ACUAUACCAUGCCCUACCCACAGGUAGACACUAUACCAUGCCCUACCCACAGGUAGACACUAUACCAUGCCCUACCCACAGGUAGACACUAUACUAUACCAUGCCCUACCCACAGGUAGACACUAUACUAUACCAUGCCCUACCCACAGGUAGACACUAUACUAUACCAUGCCCUACCCACAGGUAGACACUAUACCAUGCCCUACCCACAGGUAGACACUAUACUAUACCGUGCCCUACCCACAGGUAGACACUAUACUAUACCAUGCCCUACCCACAGGUAGACACUAUACCAUGCCCUACCCACAGGUAGACACUAUACUAUACCAUUCCCUACCCACAGGUAGACACUAUACUAUACCAUGCCCUACCCACAGGUAGACACUAUACUAUACCAUGCCCUACCCACAGGUAGACACUAUACCAUGCCCUACCCACAGGUAGACACUAUACUAUACCGUGCCCUACCCACAGGUAGACACUAUACUAUACCAUGCCCUACCCACAGGUAGACACUAUACCAUGCCCUACCCACAGGUAGACACUAUACUAUACCAUGCCCUACCCACAGGUAGACACUAUACCAUGCCCUACCCACAGGUAGACACUAUACUAUGCCCUACCCACAGGUAGACACUAUACCAUGCCCUACCCACAGGUAGACACUAUACCAUGCCCUACCCACAGGUAGACACUAUACUAUACCGUGCCCUACCCACAGGUAGACACUAUACUAUACCGUGCCCUACCCACAGGUAGACACUAUACUAUACCGUGCCCUACCCACAGGUACACACUAUACUAUACCAUUCCCUACCCACAGGUAGA